UUUUUUUUUUUUUUUUUUUUUAGGGCUGCACCCAUGGCAUUUGGAAGUUCCAGGCUGGGGUCAAAUCAGAGCUGUAGAUGCCAGCCUAUACCACGGCCACAGCAAUGCCAGAUCCAAGCCAUGUCUGUUAUCUACACCACAGCUCAUGGCAAUGCUGGAUAUCCUUAAUCCACUGAGUGAGGCCAGGGAUUGAACCCGCAUCCUGAUGGAUACUUGUCAGAUUCGUUUCCACUGAGCCACAACGUGAACUCCCAUACUUUUUAGUAAAAGGGGGCUCAACCAUCCACCCACUCUUUUCCUUCCCCAUCCCUGCUCCCUACACUCUUUCAGCAAACGCAGUUUGAACACCAAUGGUUUGCUGGGCACCACGCUAGGCGUGAUUACAGGAUCAUGCAGGAGGGUAUCUGCCCCUUGCUGAGCUGGUGCUCUUCUGAGAGAGCUGCACACCAGAGUGUCUGUCCAGAAUGCCACAGGGCGUGUCAUCUCACUGUUGUCACAAGAGACCAAGCACAUCCAGAGAACGUAAUGAUGAACGGGGUGGGGAGAGAUGGAGGUGGUCAGAACACUAGGAAGAAUUUUCAUAAAAGAAGUGAACUUUCUACUAAGACUUGCCACAUGAGAAUACUUCAAAGGUAAAAAAGAGAUGAAGAAUGAGCCAAGGGUAGUUCCCGUUGUGCUCAGUGGAUUAAGAACCUAACAUAGGGUCCAGCUAUGAGGAUGCAGCUUUGAGCCCCUGCCCCGCUCGUGGGUUAGGGAUCCUGCAUUGCUACUGGCUGUGGCGUAGGCUGGCAGCUGCAGCUCUGAUUCGACCCCUAGCCUGGGAACCUCCAUAUACCGCAGGUGCAGCCCUAAAAAGAAAAAGAAUAGGGUAACAAAUGCCCUAUGAGAGGAGUAUCUGGGGGGCCUGUGAGAGGCCGAAUGCUGAGUGGAGGUGGUGGUGAGGGGUGGGAUGCAGGGCUGGGAAAGCAGGCUGGGCUUCGGAGGAAGAUCUCCUCCUCUGCCUGUGCCCCAUGUGGCCAAGAAAAUGACACAUCAGGGGUCACCUGAGCAGAGAGGCGCAGUUCAGAAUUAACCCUGGACUCCUGUGCCCUAUAUCCCGGUCCUUGAGUAUGAAAAUAUUCACAAGUAUUGAAGCUCUGGGGAAAGGGUUUUGGGUUUGUUUGUUUGUUUGUUUUUCAGGAGAAAGCGGUGGAGAAGGAACAGAAAGUUAGAUAAAAUGACAGCAAUUACAAUUCGCUAGAUGGAUUGUUAAUUUUGAAGCAUUAAAUAUUAAACAAUUUGCAUAUAACAUGAUUAAGUUCAGAGUAUUUAGAGACAGAGGAAGAAAAAAAGCUUUCUGUUUGCCUGCUUAUACGCUCAAAAUUUCAGGGAAAGCCCAGAAAAGAACUCAGGGAAAAAAUAUUUUUCUUCUUGAUUUUUUCUUUUUUGGCCAUACCCGCAGCAUAUGGAAGUUCCCAGGCCAGGGGUUGAAUCCUAGCCUGAGGAUGUGCGACCUACGCCACAGGAUCCUGAACGCACUGUGCUGGGCCGGGGAUGAAACCCGCAGGACAACACCAGAUCAUUAUCCCACUUCACAACUCCAUUUUUUUCCUGGUCACUUUCUUUCCUCUCAUCGCACGCAGUCAGGAAGCUGAGGACUCAUCUGGAAAGGUCUGGGAUACAUUUCCCUUACUGACCGGACAGGACGCUUUUCUCCCACAGGUCUGCCUGCCUCCGCACUCCCACCCAGCCCCUCCUUCUCAACCCUCAAGGGCACAGAAGCGCUAACAUUCAGAUUCCUGGCCCAGGCACCCAGCCAAACCCUCUAAAGGAGGCCUGGGUUGAGGGUCCUGGAACCCAUAGUUACACCAGCUCCUCAGGCGAAUGGAGCAGAAAUCACUGCCCCCUGGGAGCCUGGACCAAAUCCAGACCUGGCAGGAGGUGGGAGGUGCCAGGGAGGGGGUUGUGGAGAAGCUGUCGGGCUGAGAGGAGGCAGGGGUGGCGUGGGGUGUCGGGGGGGCACAGGGAGGCCCAUUCCCAAAGCUCAGGGGUGGCUGGCUUUGCCGCGAUGUGAUGGCCAUGCUGUGUGGAAUGGCCCGGCUGGAGGACACCUCGUGGGGAGGGCCACUGCAGAAACUGUGGACUCUGGUCCAGAGGACAGGGUAGCUGCAAACCUGGGUUAUCUAGAGGCCACCUGGGUGGGAGGAGGCUGGGGCAAACGUCCCCCGUCCUAAUGCACAUGCCUGCCAGCAAAAUAGAUGGGGGUGCAGCACACGUGCCUGCUUGUACAGCAUUCACAGUUUCACUUGGGGCAUUCACAACAUAAUGUCUCUGAAAAAGACAAGUCUUACAGGGAGUUCCUGUUAUGGCUCAGCGGGUUAUCCAUGAGGAUGCAGGUUCGAUCCCUGGCCUCGCUCAGUGGAUUAAGGAUCCAGCAUUGCGGUAGGCUGGUAUCCAUGAGGAUGCAGGUUCGAUCCCUGGCCUCGCUCAGUGGAUUAAGGAUCCAGCAUUGCGGUAGGCUGGUAUCCAUGAGGAUGCAGGUUCGAUCCCUGGCCUCGCUCAGUGGAUUAAGGAUCCAGCAUUGCGGCUGUGACUUAGGUUGCAGAUGUGGCUGGCAUCCCGCAUGGCUGUGGCUGCGGUGUUGGCCAGCAGCUGAAGCUCCGAUCUGAUCCCUAGCCUGAGAAAUUCCAUAUGCCUCGGGUGCAGUCUUAAAAAGCAAAAAAAGAAGUCUAACAGACUUUUUUCCACCUCUAACAACACAGUUUCAUAAACAGUAUGGACUCCUUCUAUUUUAGAAAGCCUUGGGGGAGAGAGGUCUGAAUUUAGACAGCUUUGCCAGUAGUCUCUCCUCCCAUAAGGUCAGGAGAGGCUACUUUAUAAUUUCUCCACUUUUCAAGCCCAAUCUGACCCCACGGACGGCUGACCAGACUCAACCCCCAGAUCCACAGCUGGAGGGGAGGCCUGGUUCCCGACUCUGCAUGACAAAGGGCAGCUGCCCUUCCUCCCGACAGUUGAUGAGACCCUUGAAAAAAAGUCUCCCAAUCCACAUUCGCCUUCUUCUCUGGGCCACCAGCUAAUUGCCCAAUUAUUUUAUUUCCCCAGCAAAACUCUUCAGUCCUCCCUGGAAUCCACAUUCAGGACUCGGAGGCUCUGGAGUCUGGGGGCUUUGCCCUCCGUCUGUCUGCUCCUCCCGCCUCCCCAGCCCAGAUCCGACCGACCCUGGAUCGACUGAGCCCCCAGCUUGCUUGG
rnacentral:lncRNA from 1 species